rnacentral:rRNA from 1 species
ACGAACGCUGGCGGCGUGCUUAACACACUGCAAGUCGAGCGGAAAGGCCCUUCGGGGUACUCGAGCGGCGAACGGGUGAGUAACACGUGAGUAACCUACCUCGAACUCUGGGAUAAGCCUGGGAAACUGGGUCUAAUACCGGAUGUUCAUCUCCUGCUGCAUGGUGGGGGAUGGAAAGUGUUUAGCGGUUCGGGAUGGGCUCGCGGCCUAUCAGCUUGUUGGUGAGGUAAUGGCUUACCAAGGCUUUUACGGGUAGCCGGCCUGAGAGGGCGACCGGCCACACUGGGACUGAGAGGCGGCCCAGACUCCUACGGGAGGCAGCAGUGGGGAAUAUUGCGCAAUGGGCGGAAGCCUGACGCAGCAACGCCGUGUGAGGGAUGACGGCCUUCGGGUUGUAAACCUCUUUCACCAGGGACGAAGCUUUUGUGACGGUACCUGGGGAAGAAGCGCCGGCCAACUACGUGCCAGCAGCCGCGGUAACACGUAGGGCGCGAGCGUUGUCCGGAAUUAUUGGGCGUAAAGGGCUCGUAGGCGGUUUGUCGCGUCGAAAGCGAAAAUCCGGGGCUCAACUCCGGACUUGCUUUCGAUACGGGCAGGCUAGAGGUAGGCAGGGGAGAAUGGAAUUCCUGGUGUAGCGGUGGAAUGCGCAGAUAUCAGGAGGAACACCGGUGGCGAAGGCGGUUCUCUGGGCCUUACCUGACGCUGAGGAGCGAAAGCGUGGGGAGCGAACAGGAUUAGAUACCCUGGUAGUCCACGCUGUAAACGUUGGGCGCUAGGUGUGGGAGUCUUUUGUGACGUCCGUGCCGUAGCUAACGCAUUAAGCGCCCCGCCUGGGGAGUACGGUCGCAAGACUAAAACUCAAAGGAAUUGACGGGGGCCCGCACAAGCGGCGGAGCAUGUUGCUUAAUUCGAGGCAACGCGAAGAACCUUACCUGGGUUUGACAUGUGGGUUAAUCCGGCAGAGAUGUCGGGUCCUUUUGGGAACUCAUGCAGGUGGUGCAUGGCUGUCGUCACCCCGUGUCGUGAGAUGUUGGGUUAAGUCCCGCAACGAGCGCAACCCUCGUCCUAUGUUGCCAGCACGUUAUGGUGGGGACUCAUAGGAGACUGCCGGGGUCAACUCGGAGGAAGGUGGGGAUGAUGUCAAGUCUUCAUGCCCCUUAUGUCCAGGGCUGCAAACAUGCUACAAUGGUCGGUACAAUGGGCUGCGAGACCGUGAGGUGGAGCGAAUCCCUAAAAGCCGGCCUCAGUUCGGAUCGGGGUCUGCAACUCGACCCCGUGAAGUUGGAGUCGCUAGUAAUCGCGGAUCAGCAACGCCGCGGUGAAUACGUUCCCGGGCCUUGCACUCACCGC